UACGGCGAGUGAAGCGGCAAAAGCUCAAAUUUGAAAUCUGGUACCUUCGGUGCCCGAGUUGUAAUUUGGAGAGGGCAACUUUGGGGCCGUUCCUUGUCUAUGUUCCUUGGAACAGGACGUCAUAGAGGGUGAGAAUCCCGUGUGGCGAGGAGUGCGGUUCUUUGUAAAGUGCCUUCGAAGAGUCGAGUUGUUUGGGAAUGCAGCUCUAAGUGGGUGGUAAAUUCCAUCUAAAGCUAAAUAUUGGCGAGAGACCGAUAGCGAACAAGUACAGUGAUGGAAAGAUGAAAAGAACUUUGAAAAGAGAGUGAAAAAGUACGUGAAAUUGUUGAAAGGGAAGGGCAUUUGAUCAGACAUGGUGUUUUGUGCCCUCUGCUCCUUGUGGGUAGGGGAAUCUCGCAUUUCACUGGGCCAGCAUCAGUUUUGGUGGCAGGAUAAAUCCAUAGGAAUGUAGCUUGCCUCGGUAAGUAUUAUAGCCUGUGGGAAUACUGCCAGCUGGGACUGAGGACUGCGACGUAAGUCAAGGAUGCUGGCAUAAUGGUUAUAUGCCGCCCGUCUUGA
rnacentral:rRNA from 1 species